ensembl:lncRNA
CUGCGCCAGCCCACCUGGCUCUGGUCUGUAGGGCCACAGGUGAGCUCCAUCAUCUUGAACAGAUCAUUCCCAUCUCUCAAAUUGGCAUCUCCUCCAUCUGCAUGUUGGGAUGCUGAUGGUGCCCAUUGCACUGCAAAGAGCCAGGAGGUCUGCACCCCUCAUUUGUCAGCUGUCCCUGCUCACUCCAGGUCUCUGUGGCCGCACCUCAGGCACUUGGGUUGUUGGAUCCACAUCAGGAAAGAGCUACUCAGAGAGCACCAAUACCCUCACAGGGGACACCCCCUGCAGAAAUGGCCUUUCCCAGGCCUGGCAAGCUCCCUGCUGGUGUGAGGUUCUCAGGUCUGUGGAGUGAAGCCCUUUGCUGUGAGUCUGAAUGUUUUAAUGUUCUGAAAGGGGAAAGUUCAUCCUUCUCCCCGUUAGGCACUGUGCUCUGGGUUGCUAACUAUGGAGGGACCUCACAAGCCUUUGAAAACAGCGAGAGGACUCAGAGAAGCAAAGUUAAACUCACCAGGAGCAGAAGACAAAAGGAAAACUGGCAUAAAACCAGAACUUACUCCAUCCGUGUCAUCGAUAUAACUGGAUCAGCCGCCCUUCUCCCAUCCAGCCUGGCUUUAUAUCUCUAAGUAAUGGAAAUAAGAGCUGGGAAGCACAGCAAUCUUUGGCCUCAUCACGAUUUCUCCAAGCAGCCUGCCUGAUCUCCAAUGGACAUCUACGAGGCGAGGAGGAGACUAUUUCAAGAUGGAUCACCUUCUGCUUCCCAGAAGUGCCUCCUUAGCCGUCGGCACAGCCCAUCCACCUGUGGCAUCAGACUGUCUUGCACCCUUUCCCAAAGCCAGAGGUGGUGCCAACAGUGCAGCUGCUGAGCCACUGGAGCAGGCACAUGGUGGUGCCCCCAAGGCCGGUGCCAAUUGUCCCACUGCCACUGCACGGUGCUGUUUGUCUGGCAGAGCUCUGUGGCUGGGCUGUCCCAGUGUGGAUCCCUUAUCCAUGUGGUUGUCAUUAAUUCCAUCACUGCAAACAUCAUCCUGAGGUUGGCCGAGGACCGUGGCUUGCUGAGCAGCUGCUUGUUUACCUACCGCCCAUUUCCAUGGCGUGGGAGUGCAGCCACAUUCCUGCGAGCCCCGACUGCUCCCCGCCUCUCCGACCCAUCCGCGUGCCACCGGGGAAGCACAGAGCUGAUGUUUGACAAGAAACGCUGCCAAGGAUGCUCAGCGCUGCGCUGAGCUUGCUGAACCAGCCAGCUCAGCAACAGGGUGUAAACCAUGGCAGGGAUGGGG